GAUGAACGCUGGCGGCGUGCCUAAUACAUGCAAGUCGAGCGAACAGACGAGGAGCUUGCUCCUCUGACGUUAGCGGCGGACGGGUGAGUAACACGUGGAUAACCUACCUAUAAGACUGGGAUAACUUCGGGAAACCGGAGCUAAUACCGGAUAAUAUAUUGAACCGCAUGGCUCAAUAGUGAAAGACGGUUUUGCUGUCACUUAUAGAUGGAUCCGCGCCGCAUUAGCUAGUUGGUAAGGUAACGGCUUACCAAGGCAACGAUGCGUAGCCGACCUGAGAGGGUGAUCGGCCACACUGGAACUGAGACACGGUCCAGACUCCCACGGGAGGCAGCAGUAGGGAAUCUUCCGCAAUGGGCGAAAGCCUGACGGAGCAACGCCGCGUGAGUGAUGAAGGUCUUCGGAUCGUAAAACUCUGUUAUUAGGGAAGAACAAAUGUGUAAGUAACUAUGCACGUCUUGACGGUACCUAAUCAGAAAGCCACGGCUAACUACGUG
rnacentral:rRNA from 1 species